GCUGGCGGCAGGCCUAACACAUGCAAGUCGAACGGAGUUAUAUUGUAGCUUGCUAUGGUAUAACUUAGUGGCAGACGGGUGAGUAAUGUAUAGGAAUCUACCUAGUAGUACGGAAUAAUUGUUGGAAACGGCAACUAAUACCGUAUACGCCCUACGGGGGAAAAAUUUAUUGCUAUUAGAUGAGCCUAUAUUAGAUUAGCUAGUUGGUGGAGUAAUAGCCUACCAAGGCAAUGAUCUAUAGCUGAUCUGAGAGGAUGAUCAGCCACACUGGAACUGAGAUACGGUCCAGACUCCUACGGGAGGCAGCAGUGGGGAAUAUUGGACAAUGGGCGAAAGCCUGAUCCAGCCAUGCCGCAUGAGUGAAGAAGGCCUUUGGGUUGUAAAGCUCUUUUAGUGAGGAAGAUAAUGACGGUACUCACAGAAGAAGUCCUGGCUAACUCCGUGCCAGCAGCCGCGGUAAUACGGAGAGGGCUAGCGUUAUUCGGAAUUAUUGGGCGUAAAGGGCGCGUAGGCGGAUUAGUAAGUUAAAAGUGAAAUCCCAAGGCUCAACCUUGGAAUUGCUUUUAAAACUGCUAAUCUAGAGAUUGAAAGAGGAUAGAGGAAUUCCUAGUGUAGAGGUGAAAUUCGUAAAUAUUAGGAGGAACACCAGUGGCGAAGGCGUCUAUCUGGUUCAAAUCUGACGCUGAGGCGCGAAGGCGUGGGGAGCAAACAGGAUUAGAUACCCUGGUAGUCCACGCUGUAAACGAUGAAUGUUAAAUAUGGGAAGUUUUACUUUCUGUAUUACAGCUAACGCGUUAAACAUUCCGCCUGGGGACUACGGUCGCAAGAUUAAAACUCAAAGGAAUUGACGGG
rnacentral:rRNA from 1 species